UACGUAGGGGGCAAGCGUUGUCCGGAUUCAUUGGGCGUAAAGCGCGCGUAGGCGGCUUCGCAAGUCGGCCGUGAAAUCUCCGGGCUCAACUCGGAGGGGUCGGGCGAGACUGCGAGGCUCGAGGUGGGCAGAGGGCAGUGGAAUUCCGGGUGUAGUGGUGGAAUGCGUAGAGAUCCGGAGGAACACCAGUGGCGAAGGCGGCUGCCUGGGCCUGGCCUGACGCUGAGGCGCGAAAGCGUGGGGAGCGAACAGG
rnacentral:rRNA from 1 species